GUGGGGGGGAGGAAAUGUCAGAGGUGGUUUUUAUUUAAGAAACACGGAGUGGUGAGUGUGUGGAACGCCCUGCCAGGGGGUGGUGAUAGAGGCGGAUACAUCUAAGAAACUCUUAGAAAGUCACAUGGAUGGAACAAAAUGGAGGGUUAUGUGGGAGGGAAUGGUUAGAUUGAUCUUGGAGGAGGUUAAAAGGUCGGCACAACAUCGUGGGCCAAAGGGUCUGUACUGUGCUUUGGUGUUCGAUGUUCUAAGACUAGAAAUUGCUUUAUCUUUCUAUGUUCCCAUAUCACUAUGCCCCUCUCAAUCCCCCCUAUUUGCACUGGGCCACAUAACCAACUGUUUGAUCUGCUUGUUAAUCCAGCUCAUUUUUGACCUCUGGUUUACCUAUUUACCGGCAGUGACACCAGAGGAGCUGAUAGCUGGCCCUCCUUCACCUGUGCUGAGCUGCUGGUUUCAAGUACAUCUCACUGACUGCAACGGAGAGCGACUGCGACGGCCGAAGCUGCCAGCCAGCACUACCCCAGCGGCUUUAGAUCCUUGUUGUGAUUGUUUCCAUUGUUCCUACACAGGACGCUGGAGUCGCUCUGCACCCUGGUAUUCAUUCUCCUGUCUGGUAGAGUGGAAUACAUAGAAUUACCACAGUACUGUGAAAAUGCUUCGUUCAAUUCAGUCCAAAGACAUCAGGAGAUCAGAGUCCCAGAACUCUGCUAAUUGGCCCACUGAGCCCUUGCUAACCUUCUGGAGAUGAUCCCUGCUCACCCUUUCCAUCUUUGGGAGCAUCCGGUUGCCUUUGGGAAGUUCUGUGGAACGUGCCCG